UGUUCUGAAAUAUGCCUAUUCAUUCUGCAAUAUGUUCAUCACCAGGUUCACUCAUUCAGUACUCUUUUCCUUCUCAAAACAAAAAUUACAGAGCCUUCAUUCACUUCAAAGAAUACUAAAUAACAUCCUUUGUCCUCUCCAGUGAUUUCGAAAUGAAAAGUUCCGGUACAAAAUAAUAACACCAUGUGAACAAGACAGCAAUCACCAUUCUGAAGGCAAAGAAAUUUACUUUUUCAUAUCCUGACCUUCUCCAAAAGGUAAUUGUUGUAGCCCAGCCUCCAUCUGAGCUGUCAGGUGAGCCUGAGGUUGGCCUCAUUCAGCCUGUGAUUGUCCCUGCACCUGCCUCAUCAGAGAUGAAGCCAGAGUUUGUCCCGCCACCGGCCUGCCCAUAGGACUUUGGCUUUGGGCCUGAGAUGCAACCAGAGUUUGUCCCAGUAGAUUCUGGGACCAGAGACAGAAGGGUUGCAAGUAAGCAUUUUGAACCACAUUCCUCAAAACAGUCAAGGUCAGAUCUGGUGCCAGAUGGACAUUCUAGUUUGAAUGCUGGAAGUAAUAAGGUGGAGAGGGAUAAUGAGCUUGACCGGAGGAUAACUCAGUUGAGAAAAGAAAGGGAGUACGUUAGGAGUAGACAUUUGCUUUUGAAAUGAAAUAAUGAGCAACUUCUCACAGAAAAGGACCUUGAAUUUCCCUUAAGAAGGGUUGCUUUCUCUGACACAGUCAGAGGUGGUAACUUUGCUAAUCCAAGAGAGGAAGAUCUUUGCUUCGUGUUCCUGUGUACUCCUGCAGCCUUGUAUCUUGAUUCAAGUUCCAGCCUUGCUUGUUCCUGUGUAUCCACUUGAAUGUUCCAGUACUUUUGCAGUUUGGAUUUCUGUUUCAGCCAAGACCCUUGCUUUGAGUUUCAACAUUGACUCCGUACCUUGGACUAGCUUGAUGUUUGUUCCUGCAUUCCAGUUUUGCUUCUUGUGUCUCCAGCUUGACUCAUGCCUUGGAUCACUCCUUGUAACCUUGUUCAGACUAUUUGUGACACUUUUCUUGGGACUGACUUUGAUAUCCGGUUUGGACUAUGUUCUUUGAGUGAUUUUUAAAGACUUUUGCUUCAGGAUUUUCAAGUACUUUGUUCUUGUGAUCUCAAACCAUUUUAUUGACUUGGAACUUUGAUUUGCUAUUGCUUACAUAUAAUCUUCAAUAAACAGCUUGCUUGCUUAUA